rnacentral:pre_miRNA from 1 species
UCUUAUGGAUGAGCAAAGAAAGUAAUUUCCUGAAAUGGAAUCUACUCCUAGUGAAGAAGCUGUGAA